GGAAUUUUCCGCAAUGGGCGAAAGCCUGACGGAGCAAUACCGCGUGAGGGAUGAAAGCCUGUGGGUUGUAAACCUCUUUUCUCAAGGAAGAAGUUCUGACAGUACUUGAGGAAUAAGCAUCGGCUAACUCUGUGCCAGCAGCCGCGGUAAUACAGAGGAUGCAAGCGUUAUCCGGAAUCACUGGGCAUAAAGCGUCUGUAGGUGGUUUGAUAAGUCUGCUGUUAAAGACUAGGGCUUAACCCUAGGACAGCAGUGGAAACUGUUAGACUUGAGUGUGGUAGAGGUAGAGGGAAUUCCUAGUGUAGCGGUGAAAUGCGUAGAUAUUAGGAAGAACACCAAUGGCGAAGGCACUCUACUGGGCCAUAACUGACACUGAGAGACGACAGCUAGGGGAGCAAAUGGGAUUAGAUACCCCUGUAGUC
rnacentral:rRNA from 1 species